GCCCGGUUAGCUCAGUCGGAAGAGCACUCGCUCUGUUUGCGAGGUGUCCUGGGUUCGAGUCCCGGAAUGGCCG
rnacentral:tRNA from 1 species